CAAUAGCGUAUAUUAAAGUUGUUGCAGUUAAAAAGCUCGUAGUUGGAUUUGUGGCGUACGGUGUGUUCCGGGCACUUGUUGUCUGAGUAACCUGCUGUUGCCAUCCUUGGGUGGAACCUGUGUGGCAUUAGGUUGUCGUGCAGGGGAUGCCCAUCAUUUACUGUGAAAAAAUUAGAGUGUUCAAAGCAGGCUUAUGCCGUUGAAUAUAUUAGCAUGGAAUAAUGAGAUAGGACUUUUUGCUAUUUUGUUGGUUUGCGCAAGAAGGUAAUGAUUAAUAGGGACAGUUGGGGGUAUUCGUAUUCCAUUGUCAGAGGUGAAAUUCUUGGAUUUUUGGAAGACGAACUACUGCGAAAGCAUUUACCAAGGAUGUUUUCAUUAA
rnacentral:rRNA from 1 species